CGCACACCGCCACCGCCACCGCCGCAAAUCACCACCGCCACUGUCGCAAAUCACAGAGAAUAUCAGUUGAACCAGGUGGCUAUCUUGUUCGCAUCGUUUGAAGAUUGAAGGCCGAUCCUAGAAAUUUCCUAUCCGCUGAGUCCUAUUUGAACGAAAUCAUCAGUCACUGCUCUCACUGUGGCCUAUUAAGAGAUGAAAUCACCGGAGGUACAACGCCUACACCAGCUCCCCGCUUCAUCACCGUCGUCGCGGUGCUACAGAGAUGAAGAUACAGGUUUGCAACCUGGAAUCCAAGAAGGGGCAGCUGAUUAGGAUGAAAAUUGGGACAAGUUUGAAGAUGAAGGGAAUCUGAAGCCAAGAUGUGCAAGUUGUAGUUGUAUUAUAAUUU